rnacentral:misc_RNA from 1 species
GAUUAUUGCACUGGCGAUCGAAAUGAGAUGGCUUUGUUACCUGAAGGUAUCACUGAAUUAUUGCAUCAUGAAAAGCUACUUGUUCCUAUGAUCAAGUGCCAAAAUGUAAUUAUUCUUGCGGCAACAAACAUUACUGAGCUGGACAAGGAAUGGGAGUGUUUGACAGAAUUAGCAAAAUCAUACGGCCUGUUAGCAACGAUGGAACCACUUGUAUCAAAACGCUUAAAAACCAAUCUCUCAGAUGUAGAAAUCGCCCAACCUCUAUCAAAACUUUGUCUUGAAUUUCCUGAUGUUAAUAUUGGGGCUUAUCGCAAUUGCAGAAAUGGGUCUCUAAUAAUUAAUUUUGAAGGAAAGUUGCAGAAGCAAGCGCGGAUUGAUUUAGCUGUAGAAGCAUUAUGCAAGAUGUUCCAUCCUAGGGC